CAACUUCCAGAAUAGUGAUGCCAUCCUUGUUCAUUACUCAAAGAGGGAUCCUCAGGCUCUAUAUUAGGUCGACAAACAGGCGCCUGUCGUUUCUGCAACAAGUACCAGAAUAAUCCAAGCCUUCCUUGCUAGGCAAAGCCUGUGACCUCUGCCCCUUUUCUGUUCUACUUCGAUAACAAAGCUUGACUGCUGUAGUAGGCCUCUUCGCUAGGGAGGAGCUCCAACGCCAUCCUGGGCUCAGGCUACAGCGAGCUCUGCAGG